GGGUAGUUUGACUGGGGCGGUCUCCUCCUAAAGAGUAACGGAGGAGCACGAAGGUUGGCUAAUCCUGGUCGGACAUCAGGAGGUUAGUGCAAUGGCAUAAGCCAGCUUGACUGCGAGCGUGACGGCGCGAGCAGGUGCGAAAGCAGGUCAUAGUGAUCCGGUGGUUCUGAAUGGAAGGGCCAUCGCUCAACGGAUAAAAGGUACUCCGGGGAUAACAGGCUGAUACCGCCCAAGAGUUCAUAUCGACGGCGGUGUUUGGCACCUCGAUGUCGGCUCAUCACAUCCUGGGGCUGAAGUAGGUCCCAAGGGUAUGGCUGUUCGCCAUUUAAAGUGGUACGCGAGCUGGGUUUAGAACGUCGUGAGACAGUUCGGUCCCUAUCUGCCGUGGGCGCUGGAGAACUGAGGGGGGCUGCUCCUAGUACGAGAGGACCGGAGUGGACGCAUCACUGGUGUUCGGGUUGUCAUGCCAAUGGCACUGCCCGGUAGCUAAAUGCGGAAGAGAUAAGUGCUGAAAGCAUCUAAGCACGAAACUUGCCCCGAGAUGAGUUCUCCCUGACUCCCUGAGAGUCCUGAAGGAACGUUGAAGACGACGACGUUGAUAGGCCGGGUGUGUAAGCGCAGCGAUGCGUUGAGCUAACCGGUACUAAUGAACCGUGAGGCUUAACCUUACAACGCCGAAG
rnacentral:rRNA from 1 species